rnacentral:tRNA from 1 species
UGGCCUCUAGCUCAUGCUGGUUAGAGCAGCGGGCUCAUAACCCGUUGACGCCGUGUUCGACUCACGGGAGGCCCACCA